AUUGAACGCUGGCGGAAUGCUUUACACAUGCAAGUCGAGCGGCAGCACGGGGGCAACCCUGGUGGCGAGCGGCGAACGGGUGAGUAAUACAUCGGAACAUGCCCAGUCGUGGGGGAUAACACUUCGAAAGAAGUGCUAAUACCGCAUACGUCCUGAGGGGGAAAGCGGGGGAUCGCAAGACCUCGCGCGAUUGGAGUGGCCGAUGUCAGAUUAGCUAGUUGGUGGGGUAAAGGCCUACCAAGGCAACGAUCUGUAGCUGGUCUGAGAGGAUGAUCAGCCACACUGGGACUGAGACACGGCCCAGACUCCUACGGGAGGCGGCAGUGGGGAAUUUUGGACAAUGGGGGCAACCCUGAUCCAGCCAUUCCGCGUGAGUGAAGAAGGCCUUCGGGUUGUAAAGCUCUUUCGGCAGGAACGAAACGGUGAGCUCUAACAUAGCUUGCUAAUGACGGUACCUGAAGAAGAAGCACCGGCUAACUACGUG
rnacentral:rRNA from 1 species